rnacentral:tRNA from 1 species
GCGGGGAUGGCGAAAUUGGUAGACGCACCAGGUUUAGGUCCUGACGCCCGUUGAGGGCGUGCCGGUUCAAGUCCGGCUCUCCGCA